rnacentral:rRNA from 1 species
AAAUUGAAGAGUUUGAUCAUGGCUCAGAUUGAACGCUGGCGGCAGGCCUAACACAUGCAAGUCGAACGGUAACAGGAAACAGCUUGCUGUUUCGCUGACGAGUGGCGGACGGGUGAGUAAUGUCUGGGAAACUGCCUGAUGGAGGGGGAUAACUACUGGAAACGGUAGCUAAUACCGCAUAACGUCGCAAGACCAAAGAGGGGGACCUUCGGGCCUCUUGCCAUCGGAUGUGCCCAGAUGGGAUUAGCUUGUUGGUGGGG